rnacentral:rRNA from 1 species
GACGAACGCUGGCGGCGUGCCUAAUACAUGCAAGUCGAGCGAAGUUUUUCUGGUGCUUGCACUAGAAAAACUUAGCGGCGAACGGGUGAGUAACACGUAAAGAACCUGCCUCAUAGACUGGGACAACUAUUGGAAACGAUAGCUAAUACCGGAUAACAGCAUUAACUGCAUGGUUGAUGUUUAAAAGUUGGUUUUGCUAACACUAUGAGAUGGCUUUGCGGUGCAUUAGCUAGUUGGUGGGGUAAAGGCCUACCAAGGCGACGAUGCAUAGCCGACCUGAGAGGGUGAUCGGCCACACGGGGACUGAGACACGGCCCAGACUCCUACGGGAGGCAGCAGUAGGGAAUCUUCCGCAAUGGGCGAAAGCCUGACGGAGCAACGCCGCGUGAGUGAAGAAGGAUUUCGGUUCGUAAAGCUCUGUUGUUAGGGAAGAAUGAUUGUGUAGUAACUAUACACAGUAGAGACGGUACCUAACCAGAAAGCCACGGCUAACUACGUG